UACGGAGGGUGCGAGCGUUGUCCGGAAUCACUGGGCGUAAAGGGCGCGUAGGCAGGCUCAUGAAGGCUGUGGUGAAAGUCCGGGGCUCAACCUCGGAUCGGCCGUGGCGACUCGUGGGCUGGAGCACUGUAGAGGCGGGUGGAAUUCCGGGUGUAGCGGUGGAAUGCGUAGAGAUCCGGAAGAACACCAGUGGCGAAGGCGGCCCGCUGGGCAGUGGCUGACGCUGAGGCGCGACAGCGUGGGGAGCAAACAGGAU
rnacentral:rRNA from 1 species